rnacentral:tRNA from 14 species
GCGCCCGUAGUUCAAUUGGAUAGAGCGUCAGAUUCCGGUUCUGAAUGUUGGGGGUUCGAGUCCCUUCGGGCGUACCA